GUCCGCGUGGCUCCAAUGGAUAAGGCGUCUGGACUUUCGAAUCAGAAGAUUGCAGGUUCGAAUCCCGUCGCGGACG